AUUCUCAGUCGGUAGAGCAUGAAACUCUUAAUUUCAGGGUCGUGGGUUCGAGUUCCAUGUGGGACA